AUUGAACGCUGGCGGCAGGCCUAACACAUGCAAGUCGAACGAGUGGCGGACGGGUGAGUAAUGUCUGGGAAACUGCCCGAUGGAGGGGGAUAACUACUGGAAACGGUAGCUAAUACCGCAUACCAUCGGAUGUGCCCAGAUGGGAUUAGCUAGUAGGUGGGGUAACGGCUCACCUAGGCGACGAUCCCUAGCUGGUCUGAGAGGAUGACAGGCCACACUGGAACUGGAAAACGUCCCAGACCCCGACGUGAGGCAGCGGUGGGGAAUAUUGCCCAAUGGGCGCAAGCCUGAGGCAGCCAUGCCGCGUGUAUGAAGAAGGCCUUCGGUUGGUAAAGUACUUUCAGCGAGGAGACGUUACUCGCAGAAGAAGCACCGGCUAACUCCGUGCCAGCAGCCGCGGUAAUUC
rnacentral:rRNA from 1 species